GGUUAGGUUAUUUAGUUUAAGUAAAAUGUGGGUUUUGUAAGUCCAAGAUAGCAUAUUUGCUUUUAACCU
rnacentral:tRNA from 1 species